rnacentral:rRNA from 1 species
GAGUUUGAUCAUGGCUCAGAUUGAACGCUGGCGGCGUGCUUAACACAUGCAAGUCGAUCGGUAACAGGUGUAGCAAUACAUGCUGACGAGAGGCGGACGGGUGAGGAAUGUUUGGGAAUCUGCCCAUCAGCGGGGGACAACCCGGGGAAACUCGGGCUAAUACCGCAUACGCUCUACGGAGGAAAGCGGGGGACCUUCGGGCCUCGCGCUAUGAGAUGAGCCUGCGUUAGAUUAGCUAGUUGGUAGGGUAAAGGCCUACCAAGGCGACGAUCUAUAGCUGGUCUGAGAGGACGAUCAGCCACACUGGGACUGAGACACGGCCCAGACUCCUACGGGAGGCAGCAGUGGGGAAUAUUGGACAAUGGGCGCAAGCCUGAUCCAGCAAUACCGCGUGUGUGAAGAAGGCCCUAGGGUUGUAAAGCACUUUCAAUGGGGAGGAAAACAGUCAGAUUAAUACCCUGGCUCUUGACAUUACCUUUAGAAGAAGCACCGGCUAACUCCGUGCCAGCAGCCGCGGUAAUACGGAGGGUGCGAGCGUUAAUCGGAAUUACUGGGCGUAAAGCGUGCGUAGGCGGUUCGUUAAGUCAGAUGUGAAAGCCCCGGGCUUAACCUGGGAACUGCAUUUGAAACUGGCGAACUAGAGUUUAAUAGAGGGGAGUGGAAUU